rnacentral:misc_RNA from 1 species
GAAAAAUAAAAGAAAAUUAACCAAAAGCUCAUUACAAUAUCAAAUAGGUACUGUUGACAAUAAUUUUCAGCUUCAUCUAUCCUAAAACAAUUAUUUAAACUGCCAUUAGAAGCUUUUACUAAAAAAAUCAAAUUCAAUGCUACUCACAGCAGUAUUUCUCAGCUACCAAACAUGUACCAAAUUAUCAUAACUAACAAAAUUAGACCCAUGAGAUAUUAAGUUAUUACAAAAGGCAAACCUCAAACAAAAAAAGAAACAAUUUUUCGUCAAGAG